rnacentral:misc_RNA from 1 species
GAAAUGCGAUAAGUAAUGUGAAUUGCAGAAUUCCGUGAAUCAUCGAAUCUUUGAACGCACAUUGCGCCCCCUGGCAUUCCGGGGGGCAUGCCUGUCCGAGCGUCAUUGCUGCCCUCAAGCCCGGCUUGUGUGUUGGGCCGCCGUCCCCGCCCGCCGCGGGGGGACGGGCCCGAAAGGCAGCGGCGGCGCCGCGUCCGGUCCUCGAGCGUAUGGGGCUUCGUCACCCGCUCUUGCAGGCCCGGCCGGAGCCUCAGCCCGACCCCGCGUCAACAUCUUCCAGGUUGACCUCGGAUCAGGUAGGGAUACCCGCUGAACUUAA